UACAGAGGGGGCAAGCGUUGUUCGGAAUUACUGGGCGUAAAGGGCGCGUAGGCGGCCUGUUAAGUCGAACGUGAAAUCCCCGGGCUCAACCCGGGAACUGCGUCCGAGACUGGCAGGCUCGAAUCCGGGAGAGGGAUGUGGAAUUCCAGGUGUAGCGGUGAAAUGCGUAGAUAUCUGGAGGAACAUCGGUGGCGAAGGCGGCAUCCUGGACCGGUAUUGACGCUGAGGUGCGAAAGCGUGGGGAGCAAACAGG
rnacentral:rRNA from 1 species